rnacentral:tRNA from 1 species
GUUCUUAUAGUUGAAUACAACAUUGGUUUUUCAUGUCAAAGGUUCCGGUUAAGUUUGGGUAAGAAUU